rnacentral:rRNA from 1 species
GUGAGGAAUAUUGCACAAUGGGCGCAAGCCUGAUGCAGCGACGCCGCGUGAGUGAAGAAGGCCUUCGGGUCGUAAAGCUCUUUUCUGCGUGACGAGCAAGGACGGUAGCGCAGGAAUAAGUCUCGGCUAACUACGUGCCAGCAGCCGCGGUAAAACGUAGGAGACAAACGUUAUCCGGAGUUACUGGGCGUAAAGGGCGUGCAGGCGGUCUGUUAAGUCUGGCGUGAAAGCUCUCGGCUAAACCGGGAGAGGUCGUUGGAUACUGACGGACUAGAGGACGGUAGAGGCGUGUGGAAUUCCGGGUGUAGUGGUGAAAUGCGUAGAGAUCCGGAGGAACACCAGUGGCGAAGGCGACACGCUGGGCCGUACCUGACGCUAAGACGCGACAGCAUGGGGAGCGAACGGGAUUAGAUACCCGAGUAGUCC